GCGUUCUAAGGGCGUCGAAGCAUGAUCGCAAGGACAUGUGGAGCGCUUAGAAGUGAGAAUGCCGGUGUGAGUAGCGAAAGACGGGUGAGAAUCCCGUCCACCGAUUGACUAAGGUUUCCAGAGGAAGGCUCGUCCGCUCUGGGUUAGUCGGGUCCUAAGCUGAGGCCGACAGGCGUAGGCGAUGGAUAACAGGUUGAUAUUCCUGUACCACCUAGUAUCGUUUUAAUCGAUGGGGGGACGCAGUAGGAUAGGCGAAGCGUGCUGUUGGAGUGCACGUCCAAGCAGUAAGGCUGAGUGUUAGGCAAAUCCGGCACUCAUAAGGCUGAGCUGUGAUGGGGAGAGGAAAUUGUUUCCUCGAGUCGUUGAUUUCACACUGCCGAGAAAAGCCUCUAGAUAGAUAACAGGUGCCCGUACCGCAAACCGACACAGGUAGUCAAGAUGAGAAUUCUAAGGUGAGCGAGCGAACUCUCGUUAAGGAACUCGGCAAAAUGACCCCGUAACUUCGGGAGAAGGGGUGCUCUUUAGGGUUCACGCCCAGAAGAGCCGCAGUGAAUAGGCCCAAGCGACUGUUUAUCAAAAACACAGGUCUCUGCUAAACCGUAAGGUGAUGUAUAGGGGCUGACGCCUGCCCGGUGCUGGAAGGUUAAGAGGAGUGGUUAGCUUCUGCGAAGCUACGAAUCGAAGCCCCAGUAAACGGCGGCCGUAACUAUAACGGUCCUAAGGUAGCGAAAUUCCUUGUCGGGUAAGUUCCGACCCGCACGAAAGGCGUAACGAUUUGGGCACUGUCUCAACGAGAGACUCGGUGAAAUCAUAGUACCUGUGAAGAUGCAGGUUACCCGCGACAGGACGGAAAGACCCCGUGGAGCUUUACUGUAGCCUGAUAUUGAAAUUCGGCACAGCUUGUACAGGAUAGGUAGGAGCCUUUGAAACGUGAGCGCUAGCUUACGUGGAGGCGUUGGUGGGAUACUACCCUAGCUGUGUUGGCUUUCUAACCCGCACCACUUAUCGUGGUGGGAGACAGUGUCAGGCGGGCAGUUUGACUGGGGCGGUCGCCUCCUAAAAGGUAACGGAGGCGCUCAAAGGUUCCCUCAGAAUGGUUGGAAAUCAUUCAUAGAGUGUAAAGGCAUAAGGGAGCUUGACUGCGAGACCUACAAGUCGAGCAGGGUCGAAAGACGGACUUAGUGAUCCGGUGGUUCCGCAUGGAAGGGCCAUCGCUCAACGGAUAAAAGCUACCCCGGGGAUAACAGGCUUAUCUCCCCCAAGAGUUCACAUCGACGGGGAGGUUUGGCACCUCGAUGUCGGCUCAUCGCAUCCUGGGGCUGUAGUCGGUCCCAAGGGUUGGGCUGUUCGCCCAUUAAAGCGGUACGCUAGCUGGGUUCAGAACGUCGUGAGACAGUUCGGUCCCUAUCCGUCGUGGGCGUAGGAAAUUUGAGAGGAGCUGUCCUUAGUACGAGAGGACCGGGAUGGACAUACCUCUGGUGUACCAGUUGUCGUGCCAACGGCAUAGCUGGGUAGCUAUGUAUGGACGGGAUAAGUGCUGAAAGCAUCUAAGCAUGAAGCCCCCCUCAAGAUGAGAUUUCCCAACUUCGGUUAUAAGAUCCCUCGAAGAUGACGAGGUUAAUAGGUUCGAGGUGGAAGCGUGGUGACACGUGGAGCUGACGAAUACUAAUCGAUCGAAGACUUAAUCAAUUUUUAAA
rnacentral:rRNA from 1 species